rnacentral:rRNA from 1 species
UACGUAGGGUGCGAGCGUUAAUCGGAAUUACUGGGCGUAAAGCGUGCGCAGGCGGUUUUGUAAGUCAGAUGUGAAAGCCCCGGGCUUAACCUGGGAAUGGCAUUUGGGACUGCAAGGCUUGAGUGCGGCAGAGGAGACUGGAAUUCCUGGUGUAGCAGUGAAAUGCGUAGAUAUCAGGAGGAACACCGGUGGCGAAGGCGGGUCUCUGGGCCGAUACUGACGCUGAGGAGCGAAAGCGUGGGGAGCGAACAGG